rnacentral:ncRNA from 2 species
CGGAAUCGAGAGCUCCAA